UCUCCGUAGGUGAACCUGCGGAGGGAUCAUUACAGAGUUCAUGCCCUACCGGGUAGAUCUCCCACCCUAUGUUAUUAUUACUUUGUUGCUUUGGCGGGCCGUUAGGCUCCGGCCCGACUACCGGCCCCGGCUGGUAAGCGCCCGCCAGAGGACCCAAAACCCUGAAUAUUAGUGUCGUCUGAGUACUAUGUAAUAGUUAAAACUUUCAACAACGGAUCUCUUGGUUCUG
rnacentral:misc_RNA from 1 species